GGAAACAUGAUGAAGCAAAACUCCUCCCUCACCACUACGUUGGAGUCUUCCCAUUCAGUCAUCAUCCAAUUUGCUCCAAAGAAUCAAACACAAGCAGACGCUUCUUACAGAUGGCUGUCCUCUAGAAUGAAAAUGCACACCAACCACCGGCAAACAUCAAAAGCUAAUCCAACCUUUGGCUUUGUGUGGAAAGGUCUUCGGAAACCCUGCGACUGAUGCAAUGUUGGUGCCCUAGAAGACAAGUCAGCACAGUUCAGACGAGCCAGCCAGAGGAGGUCACCGCCAGCCUUGUAUCGAGGUUCCAAUGUCCUUCAUCGGGGAACUCAGCAUGGAUAUGCAAGACAACA